rnacentral:lncRNA from 1 species
CUAAGUGACUUGCCAAGGGUCACCCAACUGGGAAGUGUCUGAGGCCAGAUUUCAAUGCAAGUCUUCCCAACUCCAAGCCUGGUGCUCUAUAUACUGUGUUACCUAGCUGCCCCCAAAUAAUUUCUCAAUGAUAUCUUUUACUUUUGUUUUUCAGAUGUCCUUAUUGGUUUUAUGCUACAUCCAGCUCAUGUUCUCCAUUUUCUUCUGUGUGAUGCUCAUCUUUUUUUCUUUGGAGAAAAUUGGAUGAGGAAAGAGGGAGAAAGAAAAGGGUCCUCAGGUAGAACACUGAAUCAAAGAUGGAAAUAAAGAUAUCUUUAUUUCUAAAAAGAGCGAUAAAAGACAACUAUUCUCCACCCAUCAAGAUGAAAAAACUGAGACUCAGAGGAGAUCACAGAAUUUCCAAGCUGGAAAGAAUCUCACUGGCCGUCGAGAGACCAUCCAAACACAUACAUUGAGGAAGAAUCUAUGACAGCAUACCAUGUAGAGAAUCAUCCACUUUCCCAAAGAGAAGCUGGUUGACUUAUACCAUACCUAUACAACUAGUAGGUAUUAAAGUAGAAUUUGAACCUGGUUCUCUUCUGACUCCAUGUUCUUGCCUACUUGACCGUUUUACGUUUAUUAAUCAAUUUGGUGACUGAAAUGGAGAACCACCAGUUUUUUUGUUUGUUUGUUUAUUAAACUAUUUGGAUUAGACAGAGA